rnacentral:rRNA from 1 species
AUCUGCCCCCAGGAGGGGGAUAACGGUUGGAAACGACCGCUAAUACCCCAUAUGCCGAUAGGUGAAAUGAAUUUCGCCUGAGGAUGAGCCCGCGUCUGAUUAGCUAGUUGGUAAGGUAAAGGCUUACCAAGGCUUCGAUCAGUAGCUGGUCUGAGAGGAUGAUCAGCCACACUGGGACUGAGACACGGCCCAGACUCCUACGGGAGGCAGCAGUGGGGAAUUUUCCGCAAUGGGCGAAAGCCUGACGGAGCAACGCCGCGUGAGGGACGAAGGCCUCUGGGCUGUAAACCUCUUUUCUCAAGGAAGAAGAUAUGACGGUACUUGAGGAAUAAGCCACGGCUAAUUCCGUGCCAGCAGCCGCGGUAAUACGGGAGUGGCAAGCGUUAUCCGGAAUUAUUG